ACUGUGCUCCCCUCCAGACCUAAACUGGAAUUUCAUCUCUGCCACUUGCUGUCUCACAAGCCUCUCCACUUCUCCAAGUCCCUGUUUCCUCUUCUGUGAAAGGAGGAUUGCCAGAGACAAUGUUUUUGAAAGGAUGACACCUGCAGUUCUCAAAGCCACCACAAGGUGUCAGUACAAAGGGGGAAGCCAGGGAUAGAGUAACCCAGACCUCACUAAGAGUACUACAGGGAAGGGGCAAUAUGGUGAGAUGGGGAAGCCUGGACCAGAUCCCGCUUCCUUAAUGUCUGGAGGAAUCAGGGCUCAGAUGAUACACUCAUUGCUUUCCACUGAAUGCGUCUAUCUUGGCUGACCCAGGACAUAGAAUCCAUGGAGGGGAAGCCAGCUCACCUUCGUUUAAAGCUCGGCUCAAGCCCAAGUUUUGUGAUUUGAGGUUCCAGGGGCAGCUGACUAUAGUCAGUUGUUGGCAUGGUCUCCAAAGGCUUCCCAGAAUGGCAGAUUGUUCCAAGGUUCCUUCUCUGCUUCCAGAGGCUGAUGGAGACCAGGAUCACCUCCCCCAACCCACCCACCAUGUUGCGCCUGUAGGGGAGGACGUGUGUGCAAAUCCGAAAUUUUAAAAAUUAAAAAUAACCGAAUUGGAAGAAAAUCAAAGAAACCUUUAAAAAAAUGUGGUCUCUCUCUGAGGAUCUCUCUGACUAAUAUGUACUUGACACUGAAAUGGUUUCUUUGUACAAUCUCAUAAUUACAUACAAUGAAUAUAUUUCACGUAACCCUAUACUCAUUACCCGCCUGCUUUUCUUCCAUGAAAUGCUUUUGCUCCCAAAGUCAAACGCAGGCUUUGAAAUCGGCAGUCGACUCGCCAAAGGGGUAAUUUUGCUGGGCCUCAAAUACUUCCGAUAAAGGGACCUGACUUGAAUGCACACUGCCAGAAGAUUAAUAGUCUUGGUUCUGAACUCUCCCUUUAAUCCACCUCAUUGAGAGAGAGGGAGGGAGAGGGAAGGAGAGAGGAAGAGAGAGAAAGAGAGACAGAGAUAGAGACAGACAGGGACAGAGAAAUAGAGACAGAGACAAAAAAAAGAGAGAGAAGGAGAAUAAAGAGGAGGAGGAGGGAGAGGACAGACAGAGAAGAAAAGAUAUGGAGAAAGAGAGAGAAAAAAGAAGGUAGAGGCAGAAGAGAGUGAAAGAAUGAAAAGAUAGAGAGGGAAAGAAAGGGGAGAAGAGAGGGAAAGAGAGGAAGAAAGAAAGAGAUGGGAAAAGAGAGAGGAAGAGAACUAGAAAGAAGAAAGUAGGAAAAGAGAGACAAAAAAAGAGAGAGAAGGAGAAGAAAGAGGAGGAGGAGAGAGAGGACAGACAGAGAAGAAAAGAUAUGGAGAAAAAGAGAAAAAAGAAGGUAGAGACAGAAGAGAGUGAAAGAUAGAAAAGAUAGAGAGGGAAAGAAAGGGGAGAAGAGAGGGAAAGAGAGGAAGAAAGAAAGAGAUGGGAAAAGAGAGAGGAAGAGAACUAGAAAGAAGAAAGUAGGAAAAGACAGACAUAGGGAGAAGAGAGGAGAAAGGGGGGUGAAAGAGAGGGAGAGACAGAGAGAGAGAGAGACAGGACAGAGACAGACAGAAAGAGAGAGAGAGAGAGACAGAGACAGAGAGAGAGAGAGAAAGAGAGAGAGAGAGAGACAGAGACAGAGAGAGAGAGAGAGAGAGAGAGAGAGAGAGAGAGAGAGAGAGAGAGAGAGAGAGAGAGAGAGAGAGAGAGAAUACAGUUUUCAUGAUGAAAGCUUCUAAAGCCAUGUGUGGAGCUAUAAGCAUCUGGCCAAGGAUCCCCCCCAGUGGAUACCCCAGCAGUAAACAGGUCUUUUUCCCCCAGAAGCCCCCAUUGAGAUAAGAAUACUCAGUCUGAAUGUCCCCUCCCCAUCAGGGAGGAAAAGCAGUGCCAUCCUCAAAGUUUCUUUUCUAUGAAAGAAACACACCUUGAAACAAAUGGAGCAGACGCAGGCUGAGGGCCUGUAAGUUACUGGACUGGAACAGAGUGAGGCAUUCCUAUUCUGUAAGAUGGAUAAAUAUGAAGAAUUCAGAGAAAUGUGGGACUGUCCAUGUCAAGUCUUACUGGUGGAGAUGGGCAUGAACAGAUCUAGAAGAACACCUGCAGUGACCACUGCAAUGGGAAGCAAACAACCCUAAAAGACUUCAGCUGAGUGCACAGACCUGACUCCAGAUGUAAGAUGAAACGGAGCUCCUCUCCCAUUAUUUCAGCAGAGUUGGGAGACCAAGGGUAUCAAAUGAAAUGUGCUUUCAGACGUGGUCAAUGUGUGUAGGUCAGUUUGGUUUGUUCAGCGAUUCUUUGCUUAGAGGAAGUGUUUUGGGUUUCAGGAUUUGAUGCCUUCAUCAACAAAUGUUUGUGCUGCCAAAAGGGAAGAAAAAAGAAAAGGCAUCAGUAAAACUAAAGCUAGAAAAAAUGUAAAAAGCAUAGAAGGAGAACAGGCCUCCCACAAUGCAUUAUAUCUCCAUUUCUGCCUUUUAAAGUUUAACUCAGAGCUCCCUGUUCAAUGAAGCCAUCUCGGUUCCCCAAAAUAAA